AUGGUGAAACACGGACGUCGCCAUGUUGUUUACGCUGCAAUGCAUUCUGGGUAAAUGACAUGCUAGGUCCCGUAGUGCUAGCUAACCAGCCAAAAAUCGAUGGCAAUGUAGAAAUCACAAGGCGCAAUGAAGAUGAGGAGGACCAAACGAAAUAAGAGGAAAAAGUUACCAGAAGAAGCUGCUGUUUGUGCUGCUGCUAACUUCAGCUUCAUAACUGAAACAAUGAAAGCCACGUACCUCUGGUCGGACUGUGUGAUCCGAUUCCCGGAGUCGUCCAUGCAGAGAAACAUGGACGAUGUCUGUCCCUUUAUGACCACAUGACCCGGUUUAACGGACUUUAUCUGCAACACACCUGGACAAACAAACAGAUUCUCCUUCCUGCACUGAAUAAAACUGAAGUUCUGUACAUACCUGUGUAGAGACGCACCUCUCUGAGCUGAUUCCUGAAGGCAA